UACGUAGGGACCGAGCGUUGUCCGGAUUCAUUGGGCGUAAAGAGCUCGUAGGCGGCUGCUCAAGUCGAAUGUGAAAACUCGAGGCUCAACCUCGAGCCUGCAUUCGAUACUGGGCGGCUAGAGUCUGGUAGGGGGAUCUGGAAUUCCUGGUGUAGCGGUGGAAUGCGCAGAUAUCAGGAGGAACACCGAUGGCGAAGGCAGUUCUCUGGGCCUUACCUGACGCUGAGGCGCGAAAGCUAGGGGAGCGAACAGG
rnacentral:rRNA from 1 species